rnacentral:rRNA from 1 species
UACGUAGGGGGCUAGCGUUGUCCGGAAUCAUUGGGCGUAAAGAGCGUGUAGGCGGCUCGGUAAGUCCGCUGUGAAAGUCCAGGGCUCAACCCUGGAAAUGCCAGUGGAAACUGUCGAGCUAGAGUCCGGAAGAGGCGAGUGGAAUUCCUGGUGUAGCGGUGAAAUGCGCAGAUAUCAGGAGGAACACCAAUGGCGAAGGCAGCUCGCUGGGACGGUACUGACGCUGAGACGCGAAGCGUGGGAGCAAACAGG